rnacentral:rRNA from 1 species
UACGUAGGGUCCGAGCGUUGUCCGGAAUUAUUGGGCGUAAAGGGCUCGUAGGCGGUUUGUCGCGUCGGGAGUGAAAACACGGGGCUUAACCCCGUGCCUGCUUCCGAUACGGGCAGACUAGAGGUAUGCAGGGGAGAACGGAAUUCCUGGUGUAGCGGUGAAAUGCGCAGAUAUCAGGAGGAACACCGGUGGCGAAGGCGGUUCUCUGGGCAUUACCUGACGCUGAGGAGCGAAAGCGUAGGGAGCGAACAGG